GUCCACGCUGUAAACGAUGGGUGCUAGUUGUGGCGGGUUUUGACCCCUGCCGUGACGCAGCUAACGCAAUAAGCACCCCGCCUGGGAAGUACGGCCGCAAGGCUAAAACUCAAAGGAAUUGACGGGGGCCCCGCACAAGCGGUGGAGCAUGUGGUUUAAUUCGACGCAACGCGCAGAACCUUACCUGGUCUUGACAUCCUAGGAACUCCCCAGAGAUGGGGAGGUGCCCUUCGGGGAACCUAGAGACAGGUGCUGCAUGGCUGUCGU
rnacentral:rRNA from 1 species